rnacentral:lncRNA from 1 species
UUUAGUGGCCUACGACGGUUACACAACACGCCGGAAGCACUCUUCCACUUCAUCCAUCCAGCUUGUAUUCUAUGGUUGAGAUCUCCAUCUAAUUCUCCGUUCUUUUGCAAGAUAGAUCCUAGGUAGCGAAAACGGUCGCUCUUUGGUAUUUCCUGAUCUCCGAUCCUCACCCCUAACUCAUUUUGGCCUCCAUUUGCAAUGAACUUGCACUCCAUAUAUUCUGUCUUUGAUCGGCUUAGGCGAAGACCUUUAGAUUCCAACACUUCUCUCCAAAAGUUAAGCUUCGCAUUUACCCCUCCUGAGUUUCAUCUAUCAACACUAUAUUGUCUGCGAAAAGCAUACACCAAGGAAUAUCAUCUUGAAUAUGUCCUGUUAACUCAUCCAUUACCAACGCAAAAAGGUAAGGACUUAAAGAUUGUUGAUGCACAAAAUCAGUGAGGACUUUGGUACAACAGAGAGUAUUAAGUUUGUGAUCUUCGCUAGAUUGCUCUGGUCAUUAGUGUGGAUAAGUAUGUAAAUGGAUAGAGACAGGAAAGCAAACAAAAGAUGUACGUGGUUCACCCAGAUUGGCUACGUCCACGGAGUAGAGGAGUUCUCAUUAAUUGUGAAGGGUUUAUGCAAGUACAUAGGUUCAAGCUCUCCUUUAGUGAGUACAAGUGAAUGAUUUAGUACAAAUGACAUAGGUUCAGGCUCUCGUCUUCACUUGCCUUAACUGUCUCAUAGGUAGAUGUGGCAUCUUCUCUGGAAGUACGCUUCCUCCAUCCAGGGGUGGUAUCUUUAAUUGGUGGAGAUGCACAAGGUAAUGUAUCAAUUUCACUUGAAGCUUACUUGUAGUUUCAGGCUUGGUCAAGCGCGAUACAAACCAUGUAGUAGGAGUCCCUCAAGUCGCCGAGCUAGGGGAUCUGCUGAAAGAGGUGACAGACAAGGUAAGCAAUCAGAGCUCCAAGCAAUCAGUCCCAGAUCAGAAGUUUGAUUUCGAGUUCCGGCUGAUUGUUCUCAUUCUCCCUAUCUUGCAGGCAGCAUGAAGGAUAAAGAGAAGAAAAGGAGAAUAUAUGAUAUGAGAUACUUUUGCUUUUGAAGAAGUAACUUUCCGCAGGCUUAUUCUUGAACUGGGCUGGAGGAUUUUUUGGUUUCCUCCAGAGUAUAAGGCCGACUGAAGAAUUUGAGGGUCAAAACACGUCCAUCAAAUCUAGAGUACGUUCGACCUUGCUGAUAUGGGAUACUUUUGCUGUUGACAAAGUAGUGGAUGUAUCGGCACGUGUUCUCUUAUGCUUGUCUCCACAUGCUUCCUUGUAUCCUUUUCACUUUCCUUAUCUGUUCCUCAGGCAGAUGUGGUAUCUUCUCUGGAAGCAUAAGAUGUUGAAGAUGGGUACUCGAGAGCAAUGCCAAGUAAGUAAUCAGGUAAGGGGUUCCAGGCAGUUAGUUCCUGACUGGAAGCUUGAUUCCAAGUGCUAACUGAUUGCUCUCUUUCUCCUUGUCUUGCAGGUAAGAACAAGGCCAAAGGAAAAGACAGGGAAAAAGCAUGAUAUGGGAUACUCUUGCUUUUAACCCUAAUGAUAUGAGAUAUUCUUGCUCUGGUGUAGCUUGUUUGCAGAGGUAUUAUCGGGGGGAAAGAAAGCUGAGUAUUUCGAGAGGCUUCGUUGGGAGUGCCCUCUCAGAUAUGAGGAAGGGUUGAGCAUUUUUGCAGGUCUGCCUGUCCGUUGAGGAUGGAGGUCGACAUAUAUAGGAGUUUCCCUAACAACAAGUAGUAAUGCUAUUCCUUUACCCUGCUUGAUCAUAGCACGGUAGUGGGAGCUGCCAACUUCACGUGUGUCAGAGCACUUUGAAAAAGUGAUCUGUGGUAUCUGGAAAGCUGAUGUUGCGUGUGAAGAUUACAGACAAGCUUUAUCCAAGGAAAUCUGGCUCUCGAAGUUGAGAAAGCGGUGCCUCUUCGGUUUUCGUACAAGCAAUCCUGUUGGAGAUCUGGCUCUCGAGAUUCGGAAAACGGUGCCUCUUCGAUUUUUGAGAGAGCAAUCCUGCGGGGAGUCUAGCUCUCGAGAUUCGAAGAGCGGUGUCUCUUCGAUUUUUGAGAAAGUAAUCAUGUUGGGAGUCUGGCUCUCGAGAUUUGGAGGACGGUGUCUCUUCGAUUUUGGAGCAAGCAAUCUUGUUGGGAGUGUUUUCUCGAAUGUAAGUAAAGGUUGGGCAUGUUUGCUAGUCUACCUUGCCACAGAGCACAGAGGUCGACACACAAGGACUUUCCAAUUAUCCAGCAGCAGUGCUGUUCCUUUACCCUUGUAGGUAAUAAUAUGGUAGCUAGACCUUCAAAAUUUAUGUAUCUAAACUUUGUUAGUGCUGUUUCUUUGCUAUUCUUUUACCCUUCUUGGUCAUAGCGAUGUAGUGGGAGCUGCAAGCUUCACGUGUCUAAACUUUGUCAGAGAUCUUUGGCAAAGUUAUCUAUGGUACCCAUGAGCUGAUGGUGCGUGUGGAAAGUGGAUGAUUGAACAGUAAGAUUCACGUGCUUUCUACUUCACCAGAAAUCUUCAACAGAAUGCCCGUAAUUUCAGCAAAGCUGAGUGUGCAUGUGACAGGUGCUGACAAGGCUGAAAAAAGCAGGUGCCUCUUCGAUUUCUGAGAUCGGCCCUCGUGGUCUCUGAGCAGCCCAGCUUUUGAGAAAGCAAGCGCCUCUUCGAUUUCUGAGAUCGGCCUUCGUGGUCUUUGAGCAGCCCAGCUUUUGAGAAAGCAAGCGCCUCUUCGAUUUCUGAGAUCGGCCUUCGUGGUCUUUGAGCAGCCCAGCUUUUGAGAAAGCAAACGCCUCUUCAAUUUCUGAGAUCGGCCCUCGUGGUCUCUGAGCAGCCCAGCUUUUGAGAAAGCAAACGCCUCUUCGAUUUCUGGGCAGGCGCCUCUUCGAUUUCUGAAGCUCCGUCGAGUGCAGAUUUUUAUAGAGGCUGGCAUUAAGUUCCAAAGCACACUUGAAUCUUCACCAGUAGAAGCUCCCUUCUUGCACUUCUAAGAUCUUGAUUUGUCCGACCUCUUCUCUCUUCAACACCUUUGAAAAUGUCUAGCCCCUCCGACCGUCGUUUUGACUUGAACCUCGUUGAAGAGGCAGCCACGCCUUCUCCAGACAACAUAUAGCGCCCAUCCUUCUUAUCUCCUACUGGUCCGCUUACCGUUGGGGAUUCCGUGAUGAAGAAAGAUAUGACUGCUGCGGUGGUGGCCAGGAACCUUCUCACUCCCAAAGAUAACAGACUACUUUCCAAACGGUCUGAUGAGUUGGCUGUUAAGGAUUCUAUGGCUCUAAGUGUUCAGUGUGCAGGUUCUGUGUCUAAUAUGGCCCAGCGCCUAUUUGCUCGAACCCGCCAAGUUGAAUCAUUGGCAGCUGAAGUGAUGAGUCUUAAACAAGAGAUUAGAGGGCUCAAGCAUGAGAAUAAACAGUUGCACCGGCUCGCACAUGAGUAUGCUACAAACAUGAAGAGGAAGCUUGACCAGAUGAAGGAAUCUGAUGGUCAGGUUUUACUUGAUCAUCAGCGGUUUGUGGGUUUGUUCCAAAGGCAUUUAUUGCCUUCGUCUUCUGGGGCUGUACCGCGUACUGAAGCUCCAAAUGAUCAACCUUCGAUGCCUCCUCCUUCUAGGGUUCUGUCCAGUACUGAGGCUCCGAAUGAUCCCCCUCCGGUGCCUUCUCUUUUUGGGGCUCUACCGACUGCUGAGACUUCUCCUAAGCAACCUUUGUGAAGGCUCCCUCUUGUUUGUUUAUUUUGACUCAUGUAUAUGUACAUAUUUGUAACUUAUCGGAGAUAUCAAUAAAUAAGUUUUGCUUCAUUUCAACGUAUUGUGUUAAAUACACCAAAGCCUUCUUCACUGAGUGGGGUCGGCUAUAUGAAUCUUAGAACGCCAUUGUGCUCGGUCAUGUGUCAUGUCCUCCGUUAGAUCCAAAUACUCUAAGUCUUUUCUUAGAGUCUCUUCCAAAGUUUUCCUAGGUCUUCCUCUACCCCUCCGGCCCUAAACCUCUGUCCCGUAGUCGCAUCUUCUAACCGGAGCGUCAGUAGGCCUUCUUUGCACAUGUCCAAACCACCGUAACCGAUUUUCUCUCAAUUUUCCUACAAUUUCGGCUACUCCUACUUUACCUCGGAUAUCCUCAUUCCUAAUCUUAUCCUUUCUCGUGUGCCCAUACAUCCAACGAAGCAUCCUCAUCUCCGCUACACCCAUUUUGUGUACGUGUUGAUGCUUCACCGCCCAACAUUCUGUGCCAUACAGCAUCGCCGGCCUUAUUGCUGUCCUAUAAAAUUUUCCCUUGAGCUUCAGUGGCAUACGGCGGUCACACAACACGCCGGAUGCACUCUUCCACUUCAUUCAUCCAGCUUGUAUUCUAUGGUUGAGAUCUCCAUCUAAUUCUCCGUUCUUUUGCAAGAUAGAUCCUAAGUAGCGAAAACGAUCGCUCUUUGGUAUUUCCUGAUCUCCGAUCCUCACCCCUAACUCAUUUUGGCCUCCAUUUGCACUGAACUUGCACUCCAUAUAUUCUGUCUUUGAUAGGCUUAGGCGAAGACCUUUAGAUUCCAACACUUCUCUCCAAAGGUUAAGCUUCGCAUUUACCCCUUCCUGGGUUUCAUCUAUCAACACUAUAUCGUCUGCGAAAAGCAUACACCAAGGAAUAUCAUCUUGAAUAUGUCCUGUUAACUCAUCCAUUACCAACGCAAAAAGGUAAGGACUUAAGGAUGAGCCUUGAUGUAAUCCUACAGUUAUGGGGAAGCUUUCGGUUUGUCCUUCAUGAGUUCUUACGGCAGUCUUUGCUCCUUCAUACAUAUCCUUUAUAGCUUGGAUAUAUGCUACUCGUAUUCCUUUCUUCUCUAAAAUCCUCCAAAGAAUGUCUCUUGGGACCCUAUCAUACGCUUUUUCCAAAUCUAUAAAGACCAUGUGUAAAUCCUUUUUCCCAUCUCUAUAUCUUUCCAUCAAUCUUCGUAAGAGAUAGAUUGCCUCCAUGGUUGAGCGCCCUGGCAUGAACCCGAAUUGGUUGUCCGAAACCCGUGUCUCUUGCCUCAAUCUAUGCUCAAUGACUCUCUCCCAGAGCUUCAUUAUAU